AGGCAGAGUGAAGAGAGACAAGAGUGAAACAAAUACAUCCAGGUUACAGCGUAAGGACGCUCAGAUCAAGUUACAGAAGAGCUUGAGAACAACCGAGGAGAAUUAAGUCUGGAGAUAGAGUAUGAAACAGGCAUCACCAGAUGUAAAUUAAAAGAAAUUAAGAUUACUCGGAUGAUGCAAGAUUCACACACUUUACCAAACAGCUAAAGCCAGCUGUACAGACCGGAGCCAGCCACAGCCCCAUCGCUGCUCAGAUGCAAAGCCACACGGGAGAGAACUAUCUCAAUGGAAUACUACUCCCUCCUCAUUGCCACUCACAGUACAUCAGAGCAGCUACUAUACAGAAGCAUUACCAGGGAUCUCAUCUCAGCUCUCCAUACAACAUGGAAGGAAAAAAGGAAGACCUUCCUAGGAUAAAUAACGGUGUUGCUCAUUGCAUAGCAGCACGGGUCUGGCUACUCAUACAGACUGCAGCCAUGGCUGUGUUCUCGUGGUUCCUGAAACAGAAGUUCACCAGAGCACCUCCAGGCUAUUUAAAGGGAGAUUAUUUCAAGAGAUAUUAGUCAGCCUAUCUAGUGCAGCACAGGUUCCAUAACAUUCCCGCUCAUAGUGCCGUUCUGAUAUUGUAAUCUUUUUGCAGGGCAGGGCAAGAGGGAGGGGGAAAAAAAAAAAAAAAAGGGAUGAAAAAUAAACAGUGGCAGAGAUGUAGGCUACACCCAUACGUUCUUGAUGCAGAGCUGGGAAACCAGUGCCACAGAGGCUGUGCUGCAGCUCAGGGGCAGAGAAGCCUAAGGGAGCCAAGUCCCUCCUGCACCGUCCUGCCAUCUGCAGGCAGCUCUGCACCGUGCCCUUCGCCCCUGCGCUGAGAGAUGCUCGGUGAGGAUGCUGCAAUAUUCAUCUUUUCCUCUGAUUGCCAAACAGGGAGCGAGGGAAGGUGGGAUGUUAAAAGGCUGUAAAUGGCUGCCAUAGAAACAAGCCCAGGGUUCCUGGACACAGCACUUGCAACUGCAGUUGAGGAAAAUACUAGGAUUACAUGACUUUUCCAUCUAUCCAGAGAUUAAAUAGGUGUGUGUGUGUACACAUCUACACACAUUUAUGUACACACAUCCUGUAUGUAGGGAGUAUAUUAACUCUGUACACAUAUACACACAUACAACACAUCCAUCUUCCAUCUUUUUCGUUAAUACACUUAAAAAAAAAAUCAGUAUUAAGUUUCUUCUGUCUUCUCCAUUGGCGGAUCAUCCAGCAGAGAUAGAGUCACAACAGCCUGAGUUACACAGAAUUAAAGAGAUGCAGAAUCUUAAAACAGCCUAGGGCUAUUGAUAUACAUACAAAAAGAACAAAAACUUGUGCUGCUUUAGCUACUGUCCAGCCAGUUGAAAAAUAAUUCAUCUUUCUCUUGACCUCUACCCAUUCUCAAAGGUAAAAGUGCCAGCUAUACUCAGAUCGUGAUCAGGACAGUCAGAGAGUCACGGGGCGUGUUCAGAAGCUCAGACUCCAGCACUGCAGCAGUUCACAUCAGACGGGCCAGUCUAUGAAAUUGCCAGGGGAUGCACCCUUGAGAAUUGCUCUGUUCAGGGCACUGAUAUCGACCUGCAGUUCCUCUCCAAAGCACCAGGGAAGCUGCUGCCCUGAGUGCCCCAUCUCCAGGUAGAUGUGGGCAGACAGAGAAAGAAGUGCAUGGUGAGAAAAAGGGGGAGUUAAGCUGGAGAAAACCAUUACUCAGAACUUGCAAGUUAUACAGCUGCAAUGAUUUCCACAGAGGAGACUUUUUCCAGUGUGCCAGAAGAGUCAAAAUAAAUAGCAGUGGGCUACAAAGUGAAUCUGUGAUGGAUGUGAGGCCCAGAAUGAGCCUGAGCAGCAGAAAGGAGUAGGUGCUGGUAGUCCCCAAGAGUGAGUAUUUGUCCUUCCACUCAGUCCUCCAAGGCAGCUCAUGUGGUUCCUUGGUGGUAGUUUGUUAUUGUUUUGUUUGUUUUAAAUAUAGGGGAGAAUUGGCCCUCGUGUGCUUAUUUGCUUUAACCCUCUCCAAGAAAAGUGACUAAUAAGGAUAACAUUACCAUUGGCUUCAGCUUCUGUUAAAAACCUAUCCUUAACACGUUCAGAUCCAAGAAGAAAUGACAGUAUGUUUGCUCCUGCAGGAAUCCGGACAGGGCCCAAACAAACACACACACAAACCUAUUGGGAGAGACUGGGGAAAGGCACAAGGAACAAAAGAACCUGAAGCUCAAAACUCAACGAAAAUUCUGCUUUUCAACACAGGCACAAGAAGCCAAGUCCUGCCCUUCAGUAUCAGACCUGGACUUUCAGUGUUUUCCAUAUAGGAGCAUAGAAGUCAGCCAAGCACUAUCCUAAAAUACUUUUUUUGUUUCAUUUAAAUGAAAAAGAAACACUUCAGUUGGGAUACUGCACAGAUGGGGAUCAGGAGAAGCCAUGUUCUUGUUGUACAGGGCUAAGAAAUAGUAGCCCCAGCCUGCUUCCAAAAUACUACACAGUGCAUUUCAAUCUGCAAGCCUUCCCUCCUAAUUAAAUGGAAUGACUGUACCUAUUUCUACUGAAACUCAGCAGCAGGGAGCUCUAGUUCCAGCCUCCUCCUUAUACCAGGUCCUAACUAAAUCUAGGACGUAGGUACUCUUUACAAGCCAGGCAGCACCAACAUGUCAGCCUCAAUAUCAAGUCAGAAGGAAACGUUAUCAGCGAGACCAGUCAAACAAUAGAUCUUAAACAAAAGGCUCUUUCCAACAUUCAGAAUUCAAGACUUAAAGGCACUUUAAGGAGUUACUUUAAUCCAGCUGUCAACUGCAUCAAACCUUUUAACUACGCUAGAAACAGAAAGUUUUUCUUGUAGCAUGAGCUUCAUGCCAUACUUAGAAGGGGAUUUUUAGCCUUCUCGGAAGAUGCUUUCCUAAACAAUCCAUCAAGUUCUGCUUUCAAAACUUAGCUCAGCCUGGCAACAGCUCCUGUGCUUUAUAACACAGGUUUUCUCAGCAGAACAGAGGAAUUACAUGAAGCAGCUUUGUUUUUUCUUAGCAUAUGUUUGUUUGGUGGAGGACUGCACACACUCCUACCUGAACCUCCAAAAUGUUGUAUUUACCUUUUUACUCCCAGCAAUACCCGCCGUUAUGCAGAGAAUAAAGAGGGGGAAAAGGAAAAAGAAAAGGAAAUACCUCUCUUCACUUUGUGCCUCCUGGAAGUCACGUCAAAGGUAAAAGGGGAAAAAAAAA